UCGCACGCUCCACCCCGGGCUUUUCUGAGAAUUUCCAUGACUAUGGAAGCCCCAUGGGUCGUGCUAGAUUUAUUCGCCGUUCUGUGUUGCAGUUCUGUUCACAAAUUCCAACGACUGGUCUGUGUCAAAGUAACGGCUAGACUA